CAGUCGCCGCGGUAAUACGGAGGGUGCAAGCGUUAAUCGGAAUUACUGGGCGUAAAGCGCACGCAGGCGGUUUGUUAAGUCAGAUGUGAAAUCCCCGAGCUUAACUUGGGAACUGCAUUUGAAACUGGCAAGCUAGAGUCUUGUAGAGGGGGGUAGAAUUCCAGGUGUAGCGGUGAAAUGCAUAGAGAUCCGGAGGGAUACCGGUGGCGAAGGCGGCCCCCUGGACAAAGACUGACGCUCAGGUGCGAAAGCGUGGGGAGCAAACAGGAUUAGAUACCCCGGUAGUCCCUGUCUCUUAUAC
rnacentral:rRNA from 1 species